rnacentral:rRNA from 1 species
UGAGUACGAGCUGCUACGGCAGCGAAGUGGGUGAUGUCAAGCUUCCAAGAAAAGCCCUAUACCCGUUAAGGCAUGACGGCCUGUACCCGAAACCGACACAGGUGGGGUGGUAGAGAAUACCGAGGGGCGCGAGAUAACUCUCUCUAAGGAACUCGGCAAAAUGGCCCCGUAACUUCGGGAGAAGGGGUGCCACCGCAAGGUGGUCGCAGUGAAGAGGCCCAGGCGACUGUUUACCAAAAACACAGGUCUCCGCUAAGUCGCAAGACGAUGUAUGGGGGCUGACGCCUGCCCAGUGCCGGAAGGUUAAGGAAGCUGGUCAGCGCAAGCGAAGCUAGCGACUGAAGCCCCGGUGAACGGCGGCCGUAACUAUAACGGUCCUAAGGUAGCGAAAUUCCUUGUCGGGUAAGUUCCGACCCGCACGAAAGGCGUAACGAUCUGGGCGCUGUCUCGGAGAGAGGCUCGGCGAAAUAGAAUUGUCUGUGAAGAUGCGGACUACGUGCACCCGGACAGAAAGACCCUAUGAAGCUUUACUGUAGCUUGGUAUUGUGCCCGGGCUCUGAAUGCGCAGGAUAGGUGGGAGGCUUUGAUCCAUUGCUUGUGGGUAAUGGUGAGCCACUGGUGAGAUACCACUCUUUCAGAGCUAGGGUUCUAACGGUCACCCGUUAUCCGGGGACCGGACAGUAUCAGGUGGGCAGUUUGACUCGGGCGGUCGCCUCCUAAAAGGUAACGGAGGCGCGCAAAGGUUCCCUCAGGCUGGUUGGAAAUCAGCCGACGAGUGUAAAGGCAGAAGGGAGCUUGACUGUGAGACCUACAAGUCGAACAGGGACGAAAGUCGGCCUUAGUGAUCCGACGGUUCUGAGUGGAAGGGCCGUCGCUCAACGGAUAAAAGUUACUCUAGGAUAACAGGCUGAUCUCCCCCAAGAGUUCACAUCGACGGGGAGGUUUGGCACCUCGAUGUCGGCUCAUCGCAACCUGGGGCUGAAGUCGGUCCCAAGGGUUGGGCUGUUCGCCCAUUAAAGCGGUACGCGAGCUGGGUUCAGAACGUCGUGAGACAGUUCGGUCCAUAUCCGGUGCACGCGCAGGAACAUUGAGAGGAUUUCUCCCUAGUACGAGAGGACCGGGAGGAACGCACCUCUGGUGUACCAGUUAUCGUGCCAACGGUAAACGCUGGGUAGCCAUGUGCGGAGCGGAUAACCGCUGAAAGCAUCUAAGUGGGAAGCCCACCUCAAGAUGAGUGUUCCCAUGGCAUAAGCCAGUAAGGUCACGGGAAGAACACCCGUUGAUAGGCUCUACGUGGAAGCGUGGCAACACGUGAAGCGGAGGAGUACUAAUAGACCGAGGGCUUGAC